rnacentral:rRNA from 1 species
CCUACGGGAGGCAGCAGUGAGGAAUAUUGGUCAAUGGACGAGAGUCUGAACCAGCCAAGUAGCGUGAAGGAUGACUGCCCUAUGGGUUGUAAACUUCUUUUAUAUGGGAAUAAAAUGUUCCACGUGUGGGAUUUUGUAUGUACCAUAUGAAUAAGGAUCGGCUAACUCCGUGCCAGCAGCCGCGGUAAUACGGAGGAUCCGAGCGUUAUCCGGAUUUAUUGGGUUUAAAGGGAGCGUAGGUGGAUUGUUAAGUCAGUUGUGAAAGUUUGGGGCUCAACCGUAAAAUUGCAGUUGAAACUGGCAGUCUUGAGUACAGUAGAGGUGAGCGGAAUUCGUGGUGUAGCGGUGAAAUGCUUAGAUAUCACGAAGAACUCCGAUUGCGAAGGCAGUUCACUGGACUGCAACUGACACUGAGGCUCGAAAGUGUGGGUAUCAAACAGGAUUAGAUACCCCAGUAGUC